CUGCAUUUUCGAUUUAAUUAUAGGCUCCCACAGUAGUAAUUUUUCCGUGACCUACUCAAUCUCAAAAGUCAGAAAAUUGCUUCUUUUUUAAAGCUGACAAUAGCACGGGCCCUUUCCCUGACAGGCCUCUAGGAUGGUGGCAGAGGUUUGGCAGCUCAUCCCCAGGGUAUCUGCAGCAGCCCAGAGAGCAGAGGCGGGACAGCCCCAGGCCCACAGGAGAUUUUGAAGGGGUUGGUGAAUGCAGACACCAUGGGAGGAGGUGGGCUGGCCAGCAGGAACCACUCUUGGCAUUCCCUCAUGGAAGAAAGGAGAAAAAGAAAGCUGGCACUGGGGUUCCUUCUUCUGCCAUGAAAUAACUGGGAAAAAAAAGAGUUGUCUGUUAAGGUCAGGUUUACCCACAUGCCUGUCGCCGUAAGAGACACAAAAUGAUGCAGCCCUUGAAGCCAGAGCAGUGCAAAGGACAGUGAGAGGGCUGGUUCCUGUGUGAGGGGCAGCUUGGCUGAGGGCAGGAGCAGCACUGCAGCCUCCAUCUGCAGCCGUGCUGGGCUGCUUGUCCGCAGCUGUUGGGAGCUGGGAGCCGUCGGUCGCUCUGUUCUCUGUCCUGUGCUGCUUCUCUCUGGCUCCUACGUCAGAGGAGCUGAGUGCAAAACCAAUCGGCAUCCGAGGAUUGUUCUGGCAAGCAGUGUUUUUCAUUUAAAGCCAAAAUGAAAAAUGAGAUGGCUGAUCACCAGCACAGCUGAGUUGGGGCCUCAAUGAAAGGACCUUGACCCCCCAACCAGCAUCUCUUGAGGAAUUCUCUUUGUUGGAUGCUUUCAGCUGAGGCCUCCCCCAAAGUCGAAGGGCGUAAGUUGGAAGAGUUGGAAGCACAGUGUUUGUUUACCACAUUGCCCCUGGGUUUGCCUCUGGCUUGUGCAUCCUGGGGGAGAGGCAGUGGGUCUGCUGCUGGUUCCUCAAACAUUGACAUCUGUGUUGGCCUUCUGUAGUGAAACCAUUUUCCUAGCAGCAGCAUCAGGCUCUUCUCCACACUAUUUCCCUUAUCAGCAGAUCGCGUGGUGCGUACGCAGUGUCUCGGUGCAGCCGGGUGAGUGUGUUGUCUGCACAGUAAUCACCAAGAACAAAGACUCGUCUGCACGGUCAGUGAGCAGGGCUGGGGGCCGUGUGCCACACGUGUGCCUGAGACACUGCCUGGCUUUGCAGGGCUGUGGCAGGAGGGAGCUGAGCCUGUGCAAGCCCCAAACCACACUCAGCGCCCACCUUGCAUGGCUGGGGCCCACAGACACUGGUCACUGUGUCCCACAGGAGCCAUCCCAAGCACAGGAGAGUGGGAAGUGCUCCUUGGCCAUGCUCAUCCAUGGCAUCAGGGAUCAGCACUGUGAGGACAGGAAGUGGCAACCUGCCUUUUUAAAGUUCUUGAGGAACUUUGACACAGUUUGAUACUUUGAUAUUGGUGUUCCUUGCCAAAGACAAGGGAAAUCCUACGAUUGUAGUAAAUAUUUAUCUUAAACGAAAUGAGAAUAAUUAAAUGGCACCUUCAUUGCUAUAUUCAUUCAAUUAUGCUGACUAUUAACUAAUUGCUGACU